rnacentral:rRNA from 1 species
UACGGGGGGGGCAAGCGUUGUUCGGAAUUACUGGGCGUAAAGGGCUCGUAGGCGGUUUUGUAAGACCGAUGUGAAAUCCCCGGGCUUAACCUGGGAACUGCAUUGGUGACUGCAAGGCUUGAGUGUGUCAGAGGGAGGUGGAAUUCCGCGUGUAGCAGUGAAAUGCGUAGAUAUGCGGAGGAACACCGAUGGCGAAGGCAGCCUCCUGGGAUAACACUGACGCUCAUGCACGAAAGCGUGGGGAGCAAACAGG